GUCGAACGAUGAACCUCACUUGUGGGGGGAUUAGUGGCGAACGGGUGAGUAACACGUGAGUAACCUGCCCUUGACUCUGGGAUAAGCCUGGGAAACCGGGUCUAAUACUGGAUACGACCUUCUGGCGCAUGCCAUGUUGGUGGAAAGCUUUUGUGGUUUUGGAUGGACUCGCGGCCUAUCAGCUUGUUGGUGGGGUAAUGGCCUACCAAGGCGACGACGGGUAGCCGGCCUGAGAGGGUGACCGGCCACACUGGGACUGAGACACGGCCCAGACUCCUACGGGAGGCAGCAGUGGGGAAUAUUGCACAAUGGGCGCAAGCCUGAUGCAGCGACGCCGCGUGAGGGAUGAAGGCCUUCGGGUUGUAAACCUCUUUCAGUAGGGAAGAAGCGAAAGUGACGGUACCUGCAGAAGAAGCGCCGGCUAACUACGUGCCAGCAGCCGCGGUAAUACGUAGGGCGCAAGCGUUAUCCGGAAUUAUUGGGCGUAAAGAGCUCGUAGGCGGUUUGUCGCGUCUGCCGUGAAAGUCCGGGGCUUAACUCCGGAUCUGCGGUGGGUACGGGCAGACUAGAGUGCAGUAGGGGAGACUGGAAUUCCUGGUGUAGCGGUGAAAUGCGCAGAUAUCAGGAGGAACACCGAUGGCGAAGGCAGGUCUCUGGGCUGUAACUGACGCUGAGGAGCGAAAGCAUGGGGAGCGAACAGGAUUAGAUACCCUGGUAGUCCAUGCCGUAAACGUUGGGCACUANGUGUGGGGGACAUUCCACG
rnacentral:rRNA from 1 species